CAUAUUUCGGUGAACAAGAGAGUACAUUUGGACAUCUUACCAGCGAGUUGGCACAGAGUGGAAGGCCAAUAAAGAUUAAAAAUGGAACCGCACUUGGGAGAAUCUAUAUUGAACUUAGUAGGUAUAGACGUAUAUCGGCGUUAACGAUUUGAGGGGUGAGUUGAUUUUUGAUUCACAACUGGAGUGGUACCGCGAUUGAUUAACAGUCGUCUCUAGA
rnacentral:ncRNA from 1 species